rnacentral:lncRNA from 1 species
CAACCACGUAAAUCUCUCUCUCUCUCUCAACUCUACCCACCCACGUCCAAAUCGCUGCCUCUCUCUCUCACAUAGAUUCUCAGCCAGCAAGCCGUCUCUCGUCCAUUCAACCGAGCAAUCAGCUUCUCUCACAUCCAUUCAACCGAAGCACGAAGAAGAAAUCGACCGAUCGUGUUUGAAGAAAUCGACGAGACGGUAACUGCAUAGAUUCAGGUUACUCUCACAAUAUUUGAUUUCUAUAUGUGUAAUUCUUAAUUAAACCGAGUACAAAGCGAACACGAAUUUUUUGGAAUUUGUUUUUGUUUUUUUGAUUUUGAGAUUCCAGAAUUUUUCUCCUCUUUAAUGACCCCCAAUUCUAUUUCUGUGAUGGGCUCUGCAAGGUUGAGGUGGAGGUGGAAAGAAAUUGGGUCUGCAAGGUGGAGGUGGAGCUGGACAUAAAUUGGGUUCGGGUUCUACAAGGUGGAGGUGGAGGUGGAAUCUUGCAAUUUUGUUGGCAUAUGUAUCAUUUAAGAUUUCCCAGAGUUAUGAAAUCUUUGUCUUUAUCUAUACUUGCAUUCGAAGACCUUGAAUGAAUUAAGCUUUCAAUGGUUGAGUUUCUUGAUUAAUUUAAAUGUAGUAUGAAUGAUGGGGGCUGUGGAAGUGGAGGCAGUUUGGGAAUAUCAAAAGAAGACAUCCCUGGUAUGAAGUUAUGAGGAAGGAAAUUCACAUGAUUGUUAACACUAAAUAAGCUUUGAUGAGGGUUUACCUAUCAAAUAACCAACGCAUUGCAGAAUGGUAGAUCAAAUCAAAGGAUAGAUCACUAUUAACUCAUUGAUCGCAUUGGGUCUGCUGGGUUUGUAUGGUAGGUUGCUGCUUACUCAUUAAGAAAGUAGCACAAUUUAGAAAACUUAGUUUAUGCUGAUUAAGUUGUUAAACAUGUAGGUUUAGGAUACGGGAAGCAAAGAUGAACCAUUAUUAAAUAGUGAUGCAGAAAGUGAUGAUUGUGAGUUAUAAGAAUAUGUAGUUAAUUCUAUUGGAGAUAUAUCAUUUUUGGUGGUUUUUACUAUAUCAUUUUUGCUUUUUUAAUAUAUGUUUUUUGCUGGUUUUUACUGUAUUACAUUCGAAGAGUAACUGGAAUCCAGUGGUAUUUAUAUCGAUGGUUUUGAGGGUAACAUCAAUUGAAUAGUUCCUCACACAUGUUAGUAGAAUCUCAGAAAUUGGUUGAGAUUUCUUUGCUAGAGUAGUGUUUGGAUUUUCAAUAAGAUAAUUGCCGGUAAGUUCUCACUGUUUGCCUAAUAUAGCACUUGGAUCCUGACUUCAAUUAUGUUGGUAUUAGGGUCAGCAUUUUGACUAUUUUGUAGCAAUUUCAUUUUUUCUGCUGUUUUCUAUCUAUUAGAACCAUUUAUCCUUCAUGUUACUUGCAUUUGAGGCUGCUUUCUUGGGUAUCUUCGUAGGAAAAAGAUUUUCAUAAAAGGAAUCUCUUUUUACUUGUUACCAUAUUUGAUGAAAUUUAAGUAAAAUUUGUCUCAAAUUCAUUACCAAAUUUUCAUUUUUGGACAACACUUCAGAGUUAAAGAUUCUGAUGCACAUUAUAUGUCUGUAGAUGUCUUUUGGUAUAGAUUUUACGCAUUCAACAGGGCAAAAAAUUAAGUGUCCUGGUCAACCACCUCCAAGAUUGAAUCAUCAACUGUUUUAAUUAUUAUUAGGUUUUUCAAAUAGCUAACUGGUUGGUUCGCUUGGGCCAUAUUCUAGCAAAUUCUUUUGAUGAUUUAUUUCAAUUUAAUUACUGGACUGCCAGAACCAAAUGAAAGUUUUGAUCUAGACCAGUACUAAAGGUGGUCUUUUAAAUAGUUAUUUGAUAUUGCCUCUGAUAAUGGCAAUGAAGGUAGUUCCUUUUAGUAUUUGGAGAAAAAAGGGUCUUUUGGGAACUUCAUUUCUCUAGACCUGGCAGCAUUGGUUGUUCGUAAAUUUAGGGAAAUGUUUGAGUUUUCAAUCGCGCCCUCACAUCCUACUAGUAGGAAUUUGUUCUUUAGUCUAGUAAUGCUGGAAUUUGUUCUUUAGUCUAGUAAUGCUGGAAUUUUAUUUAUUCCAAUCUAUCUCUAUGAAAAUUUUUCCUUUAUAUAUCGUAUCUACAAGUGACGUUGUGAUUAAUUAGUUUCAGAAUGUGUUAAUCGUUUAU